UACGUAGGGUGCGAGCGUUGUCCGGAAUUAUUGGGCGUAAAGAGCUUGUAGGCGGUUUGUCGCGUCUGCUGUGAAAAUCCGGGGCUCAACCCCGGACUUGCAGUGGGUACGGGCAGACUAGAGUGUGGUAGGGGAGACUGGAAUUCCUGGUGUAGCGGUGAAAUGCGCAGAUAUCAGGAGGAACACCGAUGGCGAAGGCAGGUCUCUGGGCCACUACUGACGCUGAGAAGCGAAGGCAUGGGGAGCGAACAGG
rnacentral:rRNA from 1 species